GACGAACGCUGGCGGCGUGCUUAACACAUGCAAGUCGAACGCUGAAGCUCAGCUUUUGUUGGGUGGAUGAGUGGCGAACGGGUGAGUAACACGUGAGUAACCUGCCCCCUUCUUUGGGAUAACGCCCGGAAACGGGUGCUAAUACUGGAUAUUCACUGGUCUUCGCAUGGGGGUUGGUGGAAAGGGUUUUUCUGGUGGGGGAUGGGCUCGCGGCCUAUCAGCUUGUUGGUGGGGUGAUGGCCUACCAAGGCUUUGACGGGUAGCCGGCCUGAGAGGGUGACCGGUCACAUUGGGACUGAGAUACGGCCCAGACUCCUACGGGAGGCGGCAGUGGGGAAUAUUGCACAAUGGGCGCAAGCCUGAUGCAGCGACGCCGCGUGAGGGAUGGAGGCCUUCGGGUUGUGAACCUCUUUCGCUCAUGGUCAAGCCGCAACAAUGGUUGUGGUGGGGGUAGUGGGUAAAGAAGCGCCGGCUAACUACGUG
rnacentral:rRNA from 1 species